ensembl:lncRNA
AAGAAAAAAGCAAGGAAAAAAAAGAGAAAAAUAGAGUAAAAAAACAACGCCCGAGAGAUGGAGAGGAGGUGAUAUUUGAGAGAGUAUUUAAGGGAAAAAAGUGUGGAAUGAGGAGCGUGUUGUGGAAGGGAGGCGCGGAGCGGAGGGGUCCCGGCGGGCGCUCGGGGGGCACAGAGGACGCUCUCCGUUGUCAUCCUCCCUUCGGUGCUUCUGAAUACCGAUGUCAGGCAGCACCCUGUGGGCGGGGACCACCCCCAGCUCCCUUUGCUAUAAAGCACUGCGGGUUCCCCCGUUGCGGGGAGCGCAGCGGGACGGGGCGGCGGGCAGCACCCCGAAUCGGGCCGGGCUUCCAGGUGCGGGCCGAAGGUGCGGACGGCGGAGGAGAAAGAAGGAGAAAGAAGAAGGAGAAGGAGAAGGAGGAGGAGGAGGAGGAGGAUGAGGCCGAGGAGAGCGGCGUGACCGAGCGGCGGGCUGCGGGCCAAGGCUCGCACGCUCCAACGCC